rnacentral:rRNA from 1 species
GUCGCAAGAUUAAAACUCAAAGGAAUAGACGGGGACCCGCACAAGCGGUGGAGCAUGUGGUUUAAUUCGACGAUACGCGAAGAACCUUACCUGGCCUUGACAUAGAAAGAAUUUAGCAGAGAUGUAAAAGUGCUAGUUUACUAGAGCUUUCAUACAGGUGCUGCACGGCUGUCGUCAGCUCGUGUCGUGAGAUGUUAGGUUAAGUCCUGCAACGAGCGCAACCCUCGUGUUUAGUUACUAACAGAUUAUGCUGAGGACUCUAGACAUACUGCCUGGGCAACCAGGAGGAAGGUGAGGACGACGUCAAGUCAUCAUGGCCCUUACGGCCAGGGCUACACACGUGCUACAAUGGGGUAUACAAAGAGCAGCGAUACCGCGAGGUGGAGCAAAUCUCAUAAAAUAUCUCCCAGUUCGGAUUACACUCUGCAACUCGAGUGUAUGAAGUUGGAAUCGCUAGUAAUCGUAGAUCAGCAAUGCUACGGUGAAUACGUUCCCGGGUCUUGUACUCACCGCCCG